rnacentral:rRNA from 1 species
UACAGAGGGUGCGAGCGUUAAUCGGAAUUAUUGGGCGUAAAGGGAGCGUAGGCGGAUGUGCAAGUGGUAGGUGAAAUACCCGGGCUUAACCUGGGGAGGUCCUAUCAGACUGCACGUCUAGAAUGUGGUAGAGGAAGGUGGAAUUCCUGGUGUAGCGGUGAAAUGCGUAGAUAUCAGGAGGAACACCGAUGGCGAAGGCAGGUCUCUGGGCCACUACUGACGCUGAGAAGCGAAAGCAUGGGGAGCGAACAGG